rnacentral:rRNA from 1 species
GUGGGGAAUAUUGGACAAUGGGCGAAAGCCUGAUCCAGCCAUGCCGCGUGUGUGAAGAAGGUCUUCGGAUUGUAAAGCACUUUAAGUUGGGAGGAAGGGCAGUAAGUUAAUACCUUGCUGUUUUGACGUUACCGACAGAAUAAGCACCGGCUAACUUCGUGCCAGCAGCCGCGGUAAUACGAAGGGUGCAAGCGUUAAUCGGAAUUACUGGGCGUAAAGCGCGCGUAGGUGGGUUUGUAAGUUGGAGGUGAAAUCCCCGGGCUCAACCUGGGAACUGCCUCCAAAACUGCAUGACUAGAGUACGGUAGAGGGUAGUGGAAUUUCCUGUGUAGCGGUGAAAUGCGUAGAUAUAGGAAGGAACACCAGUGGCGAAGGCGACUACCUGGACUGAUACUGACACUGAGGUGCGAAAGCGUGGGGAGCAAACAGGAUUAGAAACCCGAGUAGUCC